AUUGAACGCUGGCGGCAUGCUUUACACAUGCAAGUCGAACGGUAACAGGGAGCUUGCUCCGCUGACGAGUGGCGAACGGGUGAGUAAUGCGUCGGAACGUGCCGAGUAGUGGGGGAUAACGCAUCGAAAGGUGUGCUAAUACCGCAUACGUACUGAGGUAGAAAGUGGGGGACCUUCGGGCCUCACGCUAUUCGAGCGGCCGACGUCUGAUUAGCUAGUUGGUGAGGUAAAGGCUCACCAAGGCGACGAUCAGUAGCGGGUCUGAGAGGAUGAUCCGCCACACUGGGACUGAGACACGGCCCAGACUCCUACGGGAGGCAGCAGUGGGGAAUUUUGGACAAUGGGCGCAAGCCUGAUCCAGCCAUGCCGCGUGUCUGAAGAAGGCCUUCGGGUUGUAAAGGACUUUUGUCCGGGAGCAAAUGCCUGGUGUUAAUAGCAUCGGGAGCUGAGAGUACCGGAAGAAUAAGCACCGGCUAACUACGUGCCAGCAGCCGCGGUAAUACGUAGGGUGCAAGCGUUAAUCGGAAUUACUGGGCGUAAAGCGUGCGCAGGCGGUUUUGUAAGCCAGAUGUGAAAGCCCCGGGCUCAACCUGGGAACUGCGUUUGGAACUACAAGACUAGAGUGUGUCAGAGGGGGGUGGAAUUCCGCGU
rnacentral:rRNA from 1 species